UUCAUGUGAUAGAUCCCGCCUCUUGUGUUCGUGUCCGUUCCACGUUCACGAAUCAGUCGGAAUUAACAAUAUAAUGGCAUUAAUGGAAAGUCUCAUUUAAAAAAUGUAGUACACUGCCUUCCGACAGGCUUCCAGAGGGAAACCCAUCUCUGCCAGCUGCAUCACGGAUGAUUCAUCUAUUUCUGGAGCUGGGGAACAGGAAUGACAAUGGGAGGUGUAAGGUCUGGCAGUUCCUCUUCUCCAGCCUGUAGCCCUGUGGCCCGAAGGCGAUUCAAGUCCAGGAAAUCAGUCACGGAAAAGUGUCAGGGAAGGCAACGGCUUUCGUUCUGGACACGGACCAAGUGGGGAGGGUAACAGGAAGCAUUAUCAGCCCUGUGUAACCGAUAGGGGUAUCUAAUUUUAACUUAGUUGAGAAAGUCACUUGAAGUGUGUGUCUGCCAACAGAGGGGUAGAGAGUGCAGUUGAAUGUGUCUCCUGAAACUAGAGCCUGCUGACAAGACUCAAAGUCUACAAACACGUCUGGGGAAAUUCCAGGAAAUUCCAAUUUCAAACCCUAGAAACACUUGAUUCUCUGAAAUCAUUUUUUUUAAAUAAAACAAGACUGCAAAUGGGAUAGUUCACCUAAAUGAAAACUCUGUCAGACCUGACUCAACCUGUAUCGGUCCAAAAACCGAAUUUACAAACUGAGCUCUCUAGAAAAAUGUCUAAUGCCAAACUGCUCUUUUUCUAAGAAAUGAAAGUCAUUUAUAACAUCAAAAAUAUUGUGUUUUCCAAAAAGAAGCACAUGAGAGAAAAGCA